AGAAUCAACGCUGGCGGCGUGCCUAACACAUGCAAGUCGAACGAGAAAGUGGAGCAAUCCAUGAGUAAAGUGGCGACCGGGUGAGUAACACGUGACUAACCUACCUUCGAGUGGGGGAUAACCUCGGGAAACCGGGCUAAUACCGCAUAAAAUCUUUGGAUCGGAAGAACUGGAGAUCAAUGGAGCAAUUCGCUUGAAGAGGGGGUCGCGGCUGAUUAGCUAGUUGGCGGGUAAUGGCCCACCAAGGCUUUGAUCGGUA
rnacentral:rRNA from 1 species